rnacentral:lncRNA from 10 species
AUUUUUUAAAUUGGUUUUUUCCUAAUUCAUUAAAGUUAUAUUUACUCUGUUAACUCCCUGCUAUGAAAGAUGAAGAAAAAGAGUUUCAUUACUUAUUUUUAGGUCUUUUAUUUUUAAGUUAAGAUAAUGAAUCAAGCAGAUGUGAGAUACUUGGAUAUAAAACAAGAUUUAAAAAUGAUGUCUCUACUUUGUGCCUCCCCCUCAAAUUAAAAAAUAUUAUUGAAACCGCCCACAGUUUCAAAUCUGGUGGGUGAAGUCCAUCAUAAGUAUGCUGUUCCCACUUGGCAGUGUUGCUAUCCCUGGUCCAGGUGAGAUGGGAAGCAGAAGGGCCUGAACCAUAUGAUGCAAGGUGAUUGUUGCCUGGCAUCAGAACUUGGGCAACUAUGAGGUUUGCUGCUCUUACAAUGUACAGUCAUUAUUAAAUCCUAAGACAGAAUAAUCAGUAGUGAAGCUAGACUAGCCUGAAAGAUGGCCCCUGAAUCAGACUCUGAGGAGUAGAAGUUAGCUGUAAUAAAACACUGCGAAGAAGCCCUGUUAACCACCAUGCUACACUCUGCUGUUAAUUUAUGCUAGGCUUUCUGAGAAUUAUCUAAGUUAAUGCUGAGAAAAUAAAACAGAAUUAAAAAUAACAACACCCUCCAAUGUCUGAAGAGUUGUGAUUUCUGAUAACAUGCUCCUGGCUGGCCCCCCUCCCCACACUCUGGAUUUUUUCCUGUGGGAAACUCGGAUUUGACUGCUGUGUGUUUUUAACUAAGUGAGAUCUUCAGGAAUGCAAAAGAACCCUGUGUCCCUUUAUUGUUCCCUCCAAGUUAAGUAUUUAUUGAAAUAAAGCAUUUAUCUGGUG